GCGGCCGUGGCGAAGUGGUUAACGCAUCGGGUUGUGGUCCCGACAUUCGAGGGUUCGAUUCCCUUCGGCCGCCCCA
rnacentral:tRNA from 1 species